rnacentral:tRNA from 1 species
GACCGCGUAGCUCAGUUGGCAGAGCAUUGGGCUAUAUUCCAAAGGUCGUAGGUUCGAUUCCCACCGUGGACA